rnacentral:rRNA from 1 species
UGCCACACGCCCUAACUUAUGUGUGGUACAUCCUGCCCAGUGACACUAUUCAACGGCCGCGGUAGCCCGUGCUAAGGUAGCACAAUAACUCGCCUCCUAAUUAGAGGACAGCAUGAACGGACAAACGAGAGCCCAGCGUGUCUCACUCUCAUGACUAAAAAUUAUCCUCCAGGCGAAGAGCCCUGGAAUAAAGUAAAAAGACAAAAAGACCCUGUAGAGCUUUAUUUUAGUGUACCCACCAACCAACCUAGUCUCUAGAACAACCCCCGUACACGAAAAUUUGGUUGGGGCAACCAGGGACCACCUAAAUCGUCCCCUUAACCCGAAGACCAAUAAGUCCUUCUAACGAAAUAAUMCUAAAUUAUUCAUAAGARCAAGCUACYUCAGGGAUAACAGGCCAAUCCUUCUCAAGAGUCCCUAUCGACAGAACGGGCUUGGUACCUCGAUGUUGGCUUAAGGUAAACCCCCAAGGUGCAGAAGCCUUUGGGGUGGGUCUGUUCGACCUUUAAUCCCUUUCAUGAG